UAACGAGCCGCAUCCCUUCUCGUGUGUCGCUCGCGAGUCGCUCCUCCUUCCUUGGAAGAAGCCAUGGCGCCCUUUCAUCGGAAAUGUUGAAAACACACUAAUUAGCGACAUUUACAAAUCCAGCAGUCUGACCGCGGGCUCUGGAAACUAAUCGCACUUGGAGUGGUGAAGCUCUAUCAUGGCUUAAACGAGAUGAAGAUCAAUCAGGUGAUCAUUUGGAAGACAUCAGCAGCUGCAUCAUUUCAAAGUUCCUUCAAACAUUGUUGGAUAGCACGCGUUGGUGAGCUUGCUGCAAUUGAACAUGUUUGGACUUGGUCUGCAGUUUGCUCUGCUACUCUGGAUGGGAGGGACAUCCAGCACACAAGGUUAAGAAACAAUUUUAGUUCAUGGAAAGUUCAUCUCCAUUUUAAAAUCAUCAUUUGGCAACACUAACAUUGUCACUGUGACAAUUGACAAUUCCUUCACUGCCAGCCAGCCAGCCAGCCAGCCAGCCAGCCAGCCAGCCAGCCAGCCAGCCAGCCAGCCAGCCAGCCAGCCAGCCAGCCACUGUCUGAAGUCACUCACUCACUCACUCACUCACUCACUCACUCACUCACUCACUCACUCACUCACUCACUCACUCACUCACUCACUCACUCACUCACUCACUCACUCACUCACUCACUGCCUCACUCACUCACUCACUCACUCACUCACUCACUCACUCACUGCCUCACUCACUCACUCACUCACUCACUCACUCACUCACUCACUCACUCACUCACUCACUCACUCACUCACUCACUCACUCACUCACUCACUCACUCACUCACUGCCUCACUCACUCACUCACUCACUCACUCACUCACUCACUCACUCACUCACUCACUGCCUCACUCACUGCCUCACUCACUCACUCACUCACUCACUCACUGCCUCACUCACUGCCUCACUCACUCACUCACUCACUGCCUCACUCACUCACUCACUCACUCACUCACUCACUGCCUCACUCACUCACUCACUCACUGCCUCACUCACUCACUGCCUCACUCACUCACUCACUCACUCACUCACUCACUCACUGCCUCACUGCCUCACUCACUCACUGCCUCACUCACUCACUCACUCACUGCCUCACUCACUCACUCACUCACUGCCUCACUCACUGCCUCACUCACUGCCUCACUCACUCACUCACUCACUCACUCACUUUCUGUAUUUUACUUCAAUUUGAAAUUUUCUGUCAAUUUUUCUCUUUUCACUCCCUCCAUUUGAAAAGAGACUUUUUUCAAUCUGACCCCACAACAAGACUCGUCUACUUUUCCCAGUGUGCGAGCGAGCAUGUACUUUUGCCAUCUCCGGUCUUUGUUCAUUCUUCUUGAGCUGUGUGGUACAAGUUGGCCUUCACUGCACUCUUUGUGCCCUCUCUACUAAGACUGUUGCCAAUGGGAACGUUGUUGGGUUACGCCUCCCAACCAGUAGCCUUCUUGCUAGCAGUGAGCAAGCACACUUUGUAGCAGUAGACUAGGAAUCAGUCAGUGCAAAAAUGUCUUGUCCGAUUGCUCUCCUGGUGGAUUGGUGUUUCGGCCUGGACAAAAGGGCGUGUCUUUGCUAUGGGCGGGAAGGAAGCCUUGAGGAGGCUGCAGUUGGAAGCCGGCCGGGCCCUGACAAAAAUACUUUGCUCCCACACACACACACAGCAAUGCACACACCCAAACGUACAGUAGAACACUAGGCUUUUUGUGUCAAAUACAAACCAACACUUUGAAAAGUGAAAACGUUUUCCCGAUAUCUGCCAUUUUAUUGACGACUCAAAGCGGAAAAAAACGACAACCGAAAAACCUUAACCACAUGAAUGCUUUGAAUGUGUUUUGUGGCAUCCUUCUGAGCCAGCAGGAUGUGCAAGGGAGGGGACCACAUCCUGCCCACCAUAAACAGCCAGCCAGUCAUUACUAAGGGCACAACUGAAGAAUGGCAAUUCAAUUUACACCCAUCGGCAUCCAUCCAUGCAUCCAUCCAUGCAUCCAUCCAUCCAUCCAUGCAUCCAUCCAUCCAUCCAUCCAUCCAUCCAUCCAUCCAUCCAUCCAUCCAUCCAUCCAUCCAUCCAUCCAUCCAUCCAUCCAUCCAUCCAUCCUUCCAUCCAAUUAAAAGAAGUAUAAAUGUGAUGAAUAACUAUGAAUCCAAUUGAUACUCCCUGCGCACAGUGUGGUCAAGAGCGCUGCUUCCAACUUCUGUAAUUGAUGACAUGUUGCAAAGAAAAGCAUUGUUUUGGCUUCUUCCCCUUUAAAACAUCCUGCGCUUGACAUAUUAUUGUGGUUUCAAAAUGUCCGUCAUUUGUAGUGACUUGUAAGUGUGAGGAAAAAGAGGCGGGGCCAUGAAAUCUCACUUCUCUUUGAGAAAUGCUUGGCUUAGUGGUCCACUUCAUGUAGACCUUUGUGAGGUUGCCGUCAAAUCAAUCUGCUGUGGUUUGGCGUGCCUGUUAGUGUUAGCUCGUGAGGGAACGUUUCGUUCAUAACAACGAAUCUUUUCAGUGAAUCGGAGAGAACAAGAUUUUGCUCAUUUUCACGUUCGG